GAGGGGGAACUAAGACCUGCUAAUUCUUAAACCUGGAACUAAUACCCAGCCCCCUC
rnacentral:tRNA from 1 species